rnacentral:rRNA from 1 species
UGGGGAAUCUUGCACAAUGGGGGAAACCCUGAUGCAGCGACGCCGCGUGAGCGAUGAAGGUUUUCGAAUCGUAAAGCUCUGUCCUAUGGGAAGAUAAUGACGGUACCAUGGGAGGAAGCCCCGGCUAACUACGUGCCAGCAGCCGCGGUAAUACGUAGGGGGCGAGCGUUGUCCGGAAUUACUGGGCGUAAAGGGUUCUCAGGCGGCAUGGCAAGUCCGAUGUAAAAGGCGAAGGCUCAACCUUCGUAAGCAUCGGAAACUGUCAAGCUUGAGUGAAGGAGAGGCAAGUGGAAUUCCUAGUGUAGCGGUGGAAUGCGUAGAUAUUAGGAGGAAUACCGGUGGCGAAGGCGACUUGCUGGACUUCAACUGACGCUGAGGAACGAAAGCGUGGGUAGCAAACAGG